CUGACCUACACAGUUCAGUGAGCUGUACAGUGAUGUGUUAUCCAUGACAAUUAGAUUAAUUCCAGUGCCUUUUGCUGGAAUUGUCCUACAUGGUAUUCUUUGCACCCAGUAUUCCCAUUUAAUGUUGUUUGCCCGAACAGGUUUUUGCCACUAGUCCUGACCUGUGGAAUGGUUCCUUAGCUUCCUGACCCCAUCCAGUAAAUGGAUCUGACCAUUAGAGUACACAUUUGCAUCUACCCA